ACAGCUACAACACAACCGAAACCCUGGCGGUGACCCCUAGGCCAACCCGAAGGCAGGCUUCAUCUCAUUGCAAAUACAGGUGAGAAGCCUCGUGUCCUGCUGAAUUUACUUGGGGGCAGGGGUAACUCAUCCAGAUACCUAUGGAAAGAGCUAAUGACAAGCCUGCUUCGGACUUCGAGGUCGACCUUAUGCACAGCCAGCAUCUGCUGAGUCUCUGUGCUUUGAAAUCACUCAUGCCGCCCAUGUCGGUUACAACACACGACUGCUGGGGUCCAAGUGACAUUUAAUCCUGCCGGGGGCCAGUCAUUUUGUUGUUUUCUGACCACUCGUCUCCGGCUCUCAAAAGUGCCCUCGGAGCCAGACUAGGGACAGUAAUCUUAUCUGCAGAGAGAGCAGCAUAUAUCAUACACGGAAACAUCCAAAAUUCAGACUUCUAGAAGUCAGCAAAGACAAGUAAACUUUUAUCUCCCUGGAAGCAAGCUUCUAUCUUGAACAAGAACUCUAGUUGAUACGCAGAAUACAGAGGGGGAGGUCAGUAAUUUGCUUUGAAAUGCAUCCAAAAGGUAAGACCGCCCCCCUUGACAAGUACAGUUCAUGCUUGUAAAUAAACACAUAAUAAAGCAAGUCUGGUAAAAUGUUUGCCAUCGCAUCUAGGUGGUGGGCACACAGGGGUUCACUGUUGCGUGAUUUUAGCGUGUCUGGGUGUCUGAAAUUCUGCAUAAUGAAAUGUGAGGGGAAAUUGGUUAUCUAAAGGGUAGAAACAUUAAAUGACUUGGAAUAUUUAGGAGGCAACCCACAGGUGCUUAAGUCAAUAAAAUGAACCUCAUUGCUUAUUGGGGCGAGAAACUCAGGCAUCACCGGGGUCCCUGGGUGCCCUCACGGUGGGGGUACCUGGCAGUCACGUCCGGGCGCUGCUGCUCUCCCUACUCUGACCUAGGAGCCCUCGUGUUUCGUGGUCACCCGAGACAAGGUGACUUUCCAUUGCCACCAGCCAAGCAAGGAUGAGUUGCAGAGACACAGCAACCCCACCAGCAGCCUCGGAGCCCCACCUGCCCCGGCCCGCGUCCGCACACAGAGUGGACCACCCUCCAGCCCCUACCUGAUCGAACUUCUUCUGCUUCUUUUCCAGGUUGGACACCAGUUGCCGCUGGUUGUCCAAAUCGACGACCAGGUCGUCCAGCUCCUGCUGAAGCCUGUUCUUGGUCUUAUCCAGUUUGUCAUAAGCAGCUGCCUUCUCUUCGAACUGCUGGGUGAGGCCUUCGAUUUCCUUCUGGAACUUCUUCUUGCCCUCUUCCAAGGCUUCCACGGUGCUGGCAAAGUCCUGCAGCUUCUUCUUCGAAUCGGAGAGCUAAAAUGGCAGUGUCCAAGGUCCAAUAAGGGGAGAGGGCCUUUGGGUGAUUCCCGUCCCUGACCCCACCCUGGGAAGACAACCUUCGCUGCACUGCAAAAAUUCAACAGCAGGGGGAGCCAGUGAGCCAAGCGAAAUGGCUCCAAGGCUCCACCACCACAGCCCAUCCGAGCUCCUGCUCUCCCCGCAAGGCUGUCCUGGAACAGCAAGGACGCACACACAGCCAGCACCUGGAUGUUCAGAGUCGAGAUGUGACGCUCCAGGUUCUGCUUGGCCUCCAUCUCCUCGUCCAGCUGGUCCUGCAGGCUGUUCCUCUCGUCCUCCAGCUGCCGCAGCUUGGUGGACACGUUGAGCUUCUGCCGGGUUUCUUCUUGAAGCAGCUCCUACGGAAGGAUGCACGGAAGUCCCAGGGACCCACGCCCGGAAGUUCAUGCCCCAGGGUCCCUCCGGAGGA